UACGUAGGUGGCAAGCGUUGUCCGGAAUUAUUGGGCGUAAAGCGCGCGCAGGCGGUCUUUUAAGUCUGAUGUGAAAGCCCACGGCUCAACCGUGGAGGGUCAUUGGAAACUGGGAGACUUGAGUGCAGAAGAGAAGAGUGGAAUUCCACGUGUAGCGGUGAAAUGCGUAGAUAUUGGGAGGAACACCAGUGGCGAAGGCGGCUACCUGGACCGGUUCUGACGCUGAGGCGCGAAAGCGUGGGUAGCAAACAGG
rnacentral:rRNA from 1 species